CUGCCCUACCCUUUGGAGCUCCUGGACCCUCUAACCGCUCGGUGGGGUCAGAGCCCACCCCCGGAAGGGCCGCUGGUCGGGGACUGGUUCGCCCUCUCCUGGCCUCCUCGGACCAGUGCGCGGGGAGGAUCCCGCUAACGCCGGGCGCCUGCAGACCUUGAGCGGCCUCGCCCUGGUGACCUCCCCGGGAAAGGCUGGGCGGUGCUUCCACAAUGAGGGCCACCUGUUAAUUUGCACGAGAAAGUGCUGCCGAGGGCCCACACGUGCGAAUCCACCUGUGGAGUGCGUCCCCUCUCUGGGGCCAAGGCCUAGGGGAGGCCGAAGCGGAGAAGUUGCCUGAAGACUGGGAAGUAAGAGUAGGGGCGUCGGAGGAAUCGAAGUUGCAGUGACAUCAGGCUCGGACAGCCGGCGGACUCCUCGCAAGGCCUCAAACUUCUUCAUGGGAAAAGAUGGCUUCUCUUUUUUAAUUGAAUGAACUAGAAGAAGUUCAUUGUUAUUCAUCAACUUCAAAGAGACUAUAUGAGGCCCCUUGGCCAGGACUACAGAGCAGUAUUUUUUAAUCAGAAAUUAUAGCCAAAAAGAAGAGACCAGAACACAUGGGUGAGUGUUACUGAAUUAUUGGUUUUCCUUAAAUAGUCUAGUUUUGGUGUGUGAGAGGAAGAAAGUUGCAAGUGCUUAUGUGCCAGGUACUGUGCUAGGAUCUGAGGAUGCAGAAAUGAAGAAA
rnacentral:lncRNA from 1 species